AACAUCCAGGAGCACAGACAGAGGGAAGAGAAGAGAGACAGAAUGAAGAGAGGAGCACGCCCAAGUGCAGAGACACAAAGAGAGAGACCCAGAUGUGGCAACUCGGCUGCCAGUCCACCAGAGGUUAGUGCUUGCCCAUCAGAGGUGUAGGCUGUUGGGUGAGGCCACUGCUAAGCCAAGGACAUCAUUUCCUAGAUCCAGACCCCUUCACAUCCAGAGAUGACCAUGUGACUACUUGUCACCAAGGGACUGUGGGCAGAAGUGAUGUGCGUGACUUCCGGCUGGUGCUGUUAAGAAGCAGAUAGGGGUUCUCUGCUCUCUCUUUGCAGAGGAUUUUGCGUCCCUCGAGGGUGGCCGAGACAAACAUGGAAGGAGCCCGGGCACCUAAUCUACAUGAGGAUGAGUAAUGCCCCACACUGAAAUACCCGAGUGAGAAACAGGUUUGCAUUGUGUUACUAUAAACAGGAGCUGCUGGGUUAUUUGUUACAGCUGCUAGCAGUACCCCAGGGUGAGACACCAUCAGUGAAGAACCUGGUAUCUCUGGCAAGCAGGGCAGACCCCGAUAUCCCUAGCACAGGCCAGCAGGGCACUUAUUACACAUGUGCUCAGAGAGAGGGACAUGACCCAGGGGAGCGGUGUGGGGAUAGGGCUGAUAGAGCAGGUCAAGAAUCCAAGCAACUGGCCUUUUGCAAGAAGUCAGCAAAUCGCUAUGGCCGCCAACUAUAGCAAGGGGCUGGGGCCCCACGCCUAUUCCUCCAGUCACAACCUGCAUGUCACACUGUUUGACCAGGCAGGACCUGAGGUCAGGCCAGCUUGUAAGGCAGGUGAAGGCCUCCCUCUGUGCUGACCAUGACUGCUUCUCCCCAAGUCAUCCCCAGGCCUCUCCUUGGCAGGACAGGCAGGGCUAUGUUCCCUCCCACCUCGCAGCUGGUUUUCCUCCAUCUUGGAGCUUUCCUGACCCACUCCACACAGUGAGUUCAAGCUGUCCUUGGGAUGACCCCUAGUCCCGGCUACGACCAAUAUGAACUCACAGUUGAGAGACAAAACCAAGAAGCGCUGGCCUUUCUGACCACUUGUUUGUGUCGAGAUGGAGUGUCUGACCCACAAACCGGCCCCCUGGUGCGUCUGGCAGGCAGGCCCCUGCUGGCCCGGCCACACCUGGGAGCAGGGAAGUGCUCACUGCGGUGAGUCACUGUUUCCACCUUCAACGCGCAUCCAGACAGCAGCACCGCACCCUCGCCUUUGGUCUGAAAUCACAGCCCGACUGGUGAGCUGGCACCACCUCGCAUGCUCAGUGGGUCAAUGCUAAGUGCUGGCUGCCCACAAAGCCAGCGUCUUAGAAUAGACUCAGCCUAAACAGGCGCUCACUUCCCACAGAGUUCCCAGCAGGAGGUGGCAGGACAGCUAGGUCUGCUGUGGGUCUUGGCUCCCCAUUCACACUAAAGGCUGAAUGCUCUGUGGCCAGUUCUCAAUUUGGACCAUGCUUUCCUGUCACAGCAGCCCAGACUACCCUCUGUCACCCAGCCCAGGAUGAGUGUAUCUGUUACCCCCAGGUUGACACUGCAAAAUCUGAAAAUGGCUCACUAUGCAGAGACAGUGCAGGGCAGGAGUGGAGUCCGAUCUCCAGAACCAGGCU
rnacentral:lncRNA from 1 species